AAGUUCGAACGCGAAAGCCCCCUUCGGGGGGCAAGUAGAGUGGCGCACGGGUGAGUAACACGUAGGUAAUCUACCUUUGGAUGGGGAAUAACAACCGGAAACGGUUGCUAAUACCGCAUAAUGCAGCGGCACCUAAUGGUGACAGUUGUUAAAGCGGGGGAUCGCAAGACCUCGCGUCUGAAGAGGAGCCCGCGGCGGAUUAGCUAGUUGGUAAGGUAACGGCUUACCAAGGCUAUGAUCCGUAGCCGGCCUGAGAGGGCGGUCGGCCACACUGACACUGACAUACGGGUCAGACUCCUACGGGAGGCAGCAGUCGGGAAUUUUGGGCAAUGGGCGAAAGCCUGACCCAGCAACGCCGCGUGAAGGAUGAAAUCCUUCGGGAUGUAAACUUCGCAAGAACAGGAAGAAUAAGUAAGAGUUAAUAUCUCUUAUGAUGACGGUACUGUUUGUAAGCUCCGGCUAACUCCGUGCCAGCAGCCGCGGUAAUACGGGGGGAGCAAGCGUUGUUCGGAUUUACUGGGCGUAAAGGGCGCGUAGGCGGCCACCGCAAGUCGACUGUGAAAUCUCCGGGCUUAACCCGGAAAGGUCAGCCGAUACUGCGGGGCUGGAGUGCAGAAGGGGCAACUGGAAUUCUCGGUGUAGCGGUGAAAUGCGUAGAUUUCGAGAGGAACACCUGCGGCGAAGGCGGGUUGCUGGGCUGACACUGACGCUGAUGCGCGAAAGCUAGGGGAGCGAACGGGGAUUAGAUACCCCGGUAGUCCUAGCCUUAAACGAUGAAUGCUUGGUGUCUGGGGUUUUAUAGUCCCCGGGUGCCGUCGCUAACGC
rnacentral:rRNA from 1 species